GACGAACGCUGACGGUGUGCUUUAGACAUGCAAGUCGAACGAGAAAGCCCUUCGGGGUUAGUAAAGUGGCGAACAGGUGAGUAACACGUGGGCAAUCUGCCCCUCGCAGGGGGACAACCGGAGGAAACCCCGGCUAAUACCCCGUAAGUUCAAAGGGAGGCAUCUCCCCUUGAAGAAAGGUAGCUUCGGCCAUCCGGCGAGGGAUGAGCCCGCGGUGCAUUAGCUAGUUGGUGGGGUAACGGCCCACCAAGGCGACGANGCAUAGCUGGUCUGAGAGGAUGAUCAGCCACACUGGGACUGAGACACGGCCCAGACUCCUACGGGAGGCAGCAGUCGGGAAUCUUGCGCAAUGGGCGAAAGCCUGACGCAGCAACACCGUGUGUGUGAGGAA
rnacentral:rRNA from 1 species